rnacentral:lncRNA from 1 species
CUUUAUUUCCAAUAUAUGGGUCCCAUCCCAUUGUAACACUAAUUGAGAACUUCCCGUCUGGAGGAAAGCAGAGAAUGAAUGACAUGUAACAUUGGACCCUAAACAGAACCAAUGACAAACCUGUGAGCUCACAAGCACACUUCUGGAGAACCUGGCUACCAGAGAAGUGUUAUUUCCAAGCUGUAAAAUCACUCAGCAGUCCCUGCAACUGAUGCAACCUUUACUUUAAGAGAAUAGGACAUCAUGUUCAUAAAGAAACUUGGAUCUCGAACAUACCUAAAAAGCAGCUUAAAGUCCUUGGAGCAAACAGUACAGCUGAGAAAUGUUACACCAGUUGGGUGUCAAUCCAUAAAACCCGUUCUAGAGAAAAUCGUGGAGAUGUUUAAAGACAUGAAGCCAAAGACAAAUUUUUCAACCAGAACCCUCAAGAAAUGUCACUUCUGUGUCUUGCCAAGAGAGAUCCAGCAUUUUUUCUACAUAAACAUCUGCUGGAAACAUUUUAAAGGGAGGCAUUUUAAAUAAUGACGUUUAUAGCUUCUUGUUCUUUAAUAAGUCUGAAAAAGAAGAAAAAUGAAUUUGUGAUACAUUCCUUCCCAAAGCAACUUUUCUUCACUGAUAUGCAUCAUAUUAGAUGAUCUAAAAGUGAAAAUAUUAACAUUAUGUUGGGGGGAAAUGGUUAAGAACAUUUCUCUGAACUGUCUGUAUCAAUCAUACCUGAGAGUCAGUCAUAAAUCACAGGUUCCUUAAACUCCAGAAACUCCAUCAGUUCAUUGUUUCGCCUACUUGUUUGUGGCAAUUAUACUACAUUUAUAUUUACAUAAUAAUUGGAUUUUCUAUUAAAUUAAACAAAAAACCUCUCAAAAAAGAGAGUCAGGGAACCAUAACUUAGCUAUACAACCUGAACAAUGCAAACUCAUUUGUAGUUAGAAUGGAAACUUCAUCUUGUACAAACUAACACGGAUGUUUGGGGAUAAUUCUCUGUAGGAAAUGCAAGAUAUAUUGCCAGGCUCUUUAAGGUUCCAUGGAAAAGACACACACGCAUUGCCUUUGGUAAUAGGUGUUUAUUGCAAAGAUACACAAAGAUGUAAUUUAGCAAGAAAUGUUAUCUCGUAGUUACUUUGGGUUUCACUGUUUUAAAGAAUCAAGUGUACUGCAGGCAUCAUGAAGAAGUGAGAAAAUGGCUUGGCACCUUUCAGAUUACAAACUAAGCUCAAAUGAUAUGUCUUUUUUUCCUUUACCCAGCAUUUUAACUUCCCCAAACAACUGAUUUGAUUGACAGCUUUGCCACCAUCAAAAACCUAUUGUCAUGAAUUUCACCCAAGUCAGCUCAGGGUACUUAUGCACUAGUACUUAAGUAAAAGGUUGUUUCUCUUGACACAUGGAGUUCAAGCAAUUAAUGACCAAUUCAAUGAAGUACUGGUUUUGGUCCUUUUAGAAAUUAGCAAUGGCCAUGGCUGAAACAAUUUUCCUGGAGUUCUUCUGCAGCAUAUUCAAUAAAUUAGAUAAAAUGGAAAAAAGUGCAUAAGGCAAGGAUUCAGUAUGUAUGCCUUCAAAUGAAGACAGGUUAUCACCUGAAAAUAGCUUUGGAGACUGACAGUAUACUGAAAAACAUUAUUAGUAAUUACUACUUUUAGGAUGGUGGAGUAAGAUCCUCCAUCAAAACAUGAGUUUCCUAAACUCUGACAUCAGCCUCCAAACCACAUACACCCAUCCAAUGAAACAGGUAAAAAUCUGUCUGGCUACUAGGUGUUAAAUGCAGCCUUUGAGGAAUAAGUAUCUUAUAUGAACCAGGGACAACACGUAACUAAUCAGGUGACAAGAUGCAGACAUGGGUUAAAAUUUGAGCAGGAAAAGCAGAAAUUUAAUGCUAUAAUGGAAAUAGACUAUAGAAUUACUUCACCAAACUUACUAAACAAAUAAGUAAACAACCACAUACACAGCCAAAACAACCCUUAGUGUGUGUUGGUGAGGGGAAUUAGAAUAGGGACUUGCUAGAAUAUAUUAUUUUUAAAAUUUCAGUUUUCAACAGCAACAACAAAAAUGUCAUCUACAAAGAAAUAGGAAAAUGUUAGACAGAAGAAAGGAAGUGGGCAAUGGAAAUAUUGCUUUGGAAGAGGUCCAGAUGGUGAAUUAAAAAACACCUCCAAGCAAUUAUUACAGAUAUGUUCAAAGACUAAAGAAAAACCAUAUUUCAAUAAUUAAUGAUUAUAAUGACAAUGUCCUAUCAAAUGUAUUAUAUAUCAAUACAGAUAGAAAAAUAUCGAAAGGAAUCAAAUAGAAAUUCUAUAUUAGAAGUAAAAUAAAAACAAAAUUAAAAGUUUACUAGCAGGGUUCAACAGUAGAUACAAGGAAGCAUGAGAAAGAAUGUGUAGAUUUGAAGAUAGAUUCAACAGAGAUCAUGCAAUCUGAAGAGUAGAGAAAAAAAUAAUAAAAACAUGCAGGCAGCCUCAGAAAAAUGUGGGAUAACAAUAAAUACAUUAACAUACAUAUAAUGGAGUUACCAGAAGUAUAGGCAAGAGAGAAAAGGACAAAUAAAUAUUCAAAGAAAUAAUGGAUGAAAACUUCCAAAAUUUGAUGAAGACAUUAUCUAAACAUCCAAGAUCAAUUAAUGAACUAGAAGGAGGAUAAAUGCAGAGAUAUAUCAACACCCACACACAUCAUAGUCAACACAUUAAAACCCAGAGAUAAACAUAAUAUUUUCAAAUUGGUAAGAGGAAAAGUACUCAAGUACCAGGAGAUUCCACUAAAAUUAAUAGCUGACUUUGCAACAGAAACAAUGGAGGUCAGAAAGCAGUGGGGUGACAUACUUAAAGGGCUAAAAGUAAAAAUAACUGUCAGCCAAAUAUACACACAUUGAAAUUAUUUUUUAAAAAUGAAGGUUCAGGCCAGGUGCAGUGGCUCAUACCUAUAAUCCUAGCACUUUGGGAGGCCCAGGCUGGCAGAUCACCUGAAGUCAGGAGUUCGAAACCAGCCGUGACAACAUUGAGAAACCGCAUCUCUACUGAAAAUAGAAAAAUUAGCUGGCGUGGUGGCACAUGCCUGUAAUCCCAGCUACUCAGGAGGUUGAGGCAGGAGAAUUGCUUGAACCCAGGAGGCAGAUGUUGCAGUGAGCCAAGAUGGCACCACUGCACUCCAGCCUGGGUGACAGAGCGAGACCUCCUCUCAAAAAAACAAAACAAAAAACAAAAAGAAAAAAAAGUAAGAAGGUGCAGUGAGUACCUUGUGAGCUAAAUAAAUACCCAGAUAAUUGUUUCUUUAAGAACUGCUUUUCAAAAAUACCAAAGGAAAUUAAUCAAACUGAAAGCAAGUUAAACCAGUCAGUAAUCAAAUCCACAGAGAGAAAAAAAACACUCAAAAAGGCAAUUAGGUAGGCAACUACAAAAAAUGAGAUAAUUGCCUAUUUGUUUUUUUCUUCUCGUAACCAUUUUAAAAAGCAAUUGUUAAAAAUAUGUAAAUAAUUAUAUUAUUGAGCCUAUAAUAUGUAGAAAUGUAAUAUAUUUGAAAAUAAGAGCAUAGAGGAAGUAGGUAGAAAUAAAGCUAUAUAGGAAUGAGAAAAUGAUACCACAACUCAAAUACCUAGGAAGAAAUAAAGAGAACCAGAAAGAGCAAAUAAGG